AUAAUAUUUAACAGUUCCAAAGCUCUUGAAAAAGAUGAAAUAUACAAUUUUCUUUUAGAUUUUAUAGGAGAAGGAUUGGUUACAGCUCCCGUUUACAAAUGGAAACAACAUCGAAAAAUAAUUUCUCCUGCUUUUAAUACUUCUUUCGUAAAUCAACUUUUAUCGAUUUUUAAUGAGAAAACAUCAAUCUUAAUAAGAAAUCUUCAAAAAGAACUAGGAAAAACUGAAACAUUUGAUAUUUCGGAUUAUAUAAUUUCUAUUUCAGUUGAAACUAUAAGUGAAACUGCAAUGGGAUAUAGUUGUGAUACACAAAGUGAUAGUAAAUAUGUCUUUAGUAAAGCAAUAGAAGAGGGUUCAAAAGUUAUUUGUACGAGGAUGUGUAAACCAUGGCUGUAUCCUAAUUUUAUUUUUAAUAUAUAUGCAAAUAUAACGGGCUGUCGUAAGAUUUGCAAAAAAUUUCAUAAAUUACCAGAUCAA